AGAAAUGUAAAAUUACAUUCUAAAUUUGUGUAAACAGACAAUUUUGGAGUUUAAAAAUGAAGUAACGUGGUUUCUCCAAGGCGAGGUUUAGAAAGGAAGAAGGCAAGAGUAUAAAUAGGUGGUAUUUGAAGUUUGGUGUAGUUCAUAAAUCAACAAAACAUGGUGAACCCAAAUCUCAAAACAGACCCUUCCACCAUUUACAAUCUUCUCAAAUCCUACGCACUUUCCCCCUCAACCAUCCUCAAAGCCCACCACCUCUUCCAACAAAUCCACCGACCCACCUUGUCAUUUUGGAACCUCAUGAUCCGUGGCUGGUCCAUCAGUGACCAACCCAUUGAAGCAAUUCGCUUGUACAACCUCAUGUACGGUCAAGGCCUGUUGGGUAACAACCUUACUUACCCUUUUCUCUUCAAGGCCUGUGCUCGAGUCCCUCAUGUUUCUCGCGGUACAACGCUUCAUGGCCGCGUUUUGAAACUUGGGUUUGAACCCCAUCUCUUUGUUUCCAACGCCCUGAUUCAUAUGUAUGGUUCUUGUGGUCAUCUGGAUUUUGCUCGGAAGGUGUUUGAUGAAAUGCCUGAGAGGGACUUGGUUUCUUGGAAUUCGUUGAUUUGUGGGUAUGGUCAGUGUAAGAAGUUCAGGGAGGUGUUGGGUGUUUUCGAAGCAAUGCGGGUGGCUGAUGUGAAGGGUGAUGCUGUGACGAUGGUGAAGGUUGUUCUUGCAUGCUCUUUUUUGAGUGAGUGGAGUGUUGCUGAUGCGAUGGUUGACUACAUUGAGGAAAAUAAAGUGGAAAUGGAUGUUUACUUGGGAAAUACCCUGAUUGACAUGUAUGGACGGCGCGGUUUGGUGCACCUGGCUCAUGGAGUUUUUGAUCGGAUGGAACGGAGAAAUUUAGUUUCAUGGAACACCAUGAUUAUGGGUUAUGGGAAAGUAAGAAACUUGGUUGCUGCGCGGGAGUUGUUUGACACUAUGCCGCAGAGAGAUGUGAUCUCAUGGACCUCUAUGAUCACGGGUUACUCUCAAGCAAGCCGGUUUACGGAGGCAGUGAGGCUCUUCAAGGAAAUGAUGGAAGCUAAGGUCAAACCGGAUGAAAUAACGGUUGCCAGUGUGCUUUCUGCAUGUGCUCAUAUUGGUUCACUUGAUGUUGGGGAGGCUGUUCAUGACUACAUACGGAAAUAUGAUGUGAAAACUGAUGUUUAUGUUGGAAAUGCCUUGAUAGAUAUGUACUGCAAAUGUGGUGUAGUUGGGAAAGCAUUGGAAGUAUUUAAAGAAAUGACGAAGAGGGACUCAGUGUCAUGGACUUCGAUCAUUUCAGGCUUUGCAGUUAAUGGCUUUGCAGAUUCAGCACUUGAUUAUUUUUCACGGAUGUUGAAGGAAAGUGUUUGGCCAUCUCAUGGUGCCUUUGUUGGAGUAUUGCUAGCCUGUGCUCAUGCUGGAUUGGUUGACAAAGGAUUGGAAUAUUUUGAAAGUAUGGGAGAAGUUUAUGGACUGAAACCAGAAAUGAAACAUUAUGGAUGUGUUGUGGAUCUUCUUAGUCGCUCUGGAAAUUUACAAAGGGCAUAUGAAUUCAUAAACGAGAUGCCUGUGACUCCAGAUGUGGUAGUGUGGAGGAUAUUGUUGAGCGCUUCUCAGGUUCAUGGAAAUGUUCACUUGGCCGAGAUUGCCACAAAGAAGCUUCUUGAACUGGAUCCUUCUAAUAGUGGUAACUAUGUACUUUCCUCUAAUACUUAUGCGGGCUCCAAUAGAUGGGAAGAUGUCGUUAAAAUGAGAGGACUGAUGGAUAAGAGUAAUGUUCAGAAACCAUCAGGUAGCAGUUUCAUAGAAAUAAAUGGUCUAAACAGUUCUCAAGAUUCUUUUAUGAAACAUCAACAGAAGAGUGAAUUAACUGCUGUCUAGAAGAUUCAUUUUUUACUUCAUAAGUUGAUUUCAUUUGUGGGACCGCACGUGCAAUGGACAUGAUAAACCAAAAGGUCUGAAAAUUUUGAACCUUACCUGAUGGCCUUAUCAACUCCGAUUUGUCAAGCAAGGGACUUGAUUCUAAUUCUUAUAUGAUGCUAUGGAGCACUACUUUGAUGGAGAACUAGUAGUUUUCCUUUGAUGGAGCAGUACUUUGAUUCUAAUUACGGAUUACGGAUGGAAUUGCUAAUUGGGCAUAUAUUUUUUCUUUUGUCUUGCGACGAGUUUCCUCCGGUUCACUGGUGGUUAGAGACUGAUUAUGCUCACGUCGGUAGACUAGGUUGCAAGCAAUGCCCCACUAAAAUCGCAAUCAAUCAUGGAACAUGCCGGGGUUUAUUCGAAAUGCAGAACAGAAUUGUGUUCGUGUUCUCAAAUGAUGCACUUGAACUUGAAAGCAACAGGCAUGGUUUAUCAUGAAACUUCGGUCAAGGACUCGCAACUAAAUUAUACAAAACAUCCGUUCUGGUAUUUAAAUAUGAACAAUAAAUGUUAGCCUGAUUGGGCUUGUUCUAUUGGUGUAGAUCGUGUUGAAGGCUUAAAUAUUAAGAAAGAAUUAUUAGGCAACCAGAACAUCUCUUGUUGUAGAAAGCUUUGGGACAUGUCUUCAGGCACACUUGCUUUAUUGUUUUUGUUUUAUCAUGUGAAUCUUUCUUCCAUGUUCGGGACAUUAUUCGUUCUCUUUCCUAUC